GAUGAACGCUGGCGGCGUGCCUAAUACAUGCAAGUCGAGCGAACGGACGAGAAGCUUGCUUCUCUGAUGUUAGCGGCGGACGGGUGAGUAACACGUGGAUAACCUACCUAUAAGACUGGGAUAACUUCGGGAAACCGGAGCUAAUACCGGAUAAUAUUUUGAACCGCAUGGUUCAAAAGUAAAAGACGGUUUUGCUGUCACUUAUAGAUGGACCCGCGCUGCAUUAGCUAGUUGGUAAGGUAACGGCUUACCAAGGCAACGAUGCAUAGCCGACCUGAGAGGGUGAUCGGCCACACUGGAACUGAGACACGGUCCAGACUCCUACGGGAGGCAGCAGUAGGGAAUCUUCCGCAAUGGGCGAAAGCCUGACGGAGCAACGCCGCGUGAGUGAUGAAGGUCUUCGGAUCGUAAAACUCUGUUAUUAGGGAAGAACAUAUGUGUAAGUAACUGUGCACAUCUUGACGGUACCUAAUCAGAAAGCCACGGCUAACUACGUG
rnacentral:rRNA from 1 species